rnacentral:lncRNA from 1 species
UGCAAUAUGAAAAGGACAAUAUAUUAUCAUCGCCUUCAUUCACAUAACCUUCAUCAUCGUCUCCCUCUUCUUCCUCACCACGUUCCACCUCUUGUUGAGGAACUUUAUCAAUUUUCUCUACUUCAUCGCCAUCUUCAUUAUAAGCAUCAAUAUGACUUAUAGUAUCAUCUCUUUCAGAAUUUUCUUCAUGUGGACUUUGGGGUUCAACUGAUAUUGCUCUAUUUUCAUCGCUGAUAACUAUUCAUCUCUUUCCAUCUUUACGAGAUGGGUUUUUAUUUCAUUUAUAUUUUAUAAAAUAG